rnacentral:rRNA from 1 species
UACAGAGGGUGCAAGCGUUAAUCGGAAUUACUGGGCGUAAAGCGCGCGUAGGCGGUCGAGUAAGUCGGAUGUGAAAUCCCCGGGCUUAACCUGGGAAUUGCAUUCGAUACUGCUUGGCUAGAGUGUGGAAGAGGGAAGCGGAAUUUCCGGUGUAGCGGUGAAAUGCGUAGAUAUCGGAAGGAACACCAGUGGCGAAGGCGGCUUCCUGGUCCAACACUGACGCUGAGGCGCGAAAGCGUGGGGAGCGAACAGG